UACGUAGGGGGGCAAGCGUUGUCCGGAUUUAUUGGGCGUAAAGAGCGUGUAGGCGGCCAGGUAGGUCAGCUGUGAAAACUCGAGGCUCAACCUCGAGACGCCGGUUGAAACCAUCUGGCUAGAGUCCGGAAGAGGAGAGUGGAAUUCCUGGUGUAGCGGUGAAAUGACGCAGAUAUCAGGAAGAACACCCGUGGCUAAGGCGGCUCUCUAGUACGGUACUGACGCUGAGACGCGAAAGCGUGGGGAGCGAACAGG
rnacentral:rRNA from 1 species